UUUGUAAGGGUGGGACUGGGAGGACAGAGUGGGGGCAUGAUCAGGGUGUCAAAUGAAUAAAGAAACAAGUUGAUUUUUAAACAGUAUAAAAUAACCAUCCCUAGGGAUGAAACAUUCACCUACAGACCCAAGAACCCCAAGUUUAAGUGACCUGGAGAGAGCCCCAUGUCACAUGAUUAGGUGAUAGGUAACAGGUAUUAGGUGAUUAGUAAUAGGACCUUAUCAUGACAACACCAGAGUAAAGUCCUGGGCACACAGCCCCCAAAGGAAGCAAAGUUUUGCUUUCGAGAGCGGGUGGAACAAGGAGGGGGAAGUUAAAAGUCCACUGGAUCAGGUGUCCUUUGCAUGCCCGUGAGAGAUAAGCCUGCUCCCCUUUGAGAGACACCAAAGAAGCGCUGGCUUGUAAGCCUGGAAGCAUCUACAGUAUAAAAGGAAGUGAGCCCAGACCCUUCGGUGCCACAGUUGUGUCUGGGGGGCAUCCUCACGCAGACCAUCCCUGCACCCCACAGAGGUCAACCCUCUCCUUAACAUGCACAGUACCUGCUGCCUCCCUUCCAGCCUCAGACUGCCUGCUGGCUGCGUGCUCUCAUGGCGACUCACUCACCAAUGAGUGUCAGGAAUGGAGGAAGGGGGAGCAGACCCCUGCCAUGUGCAGGGAGCGUCCACAAGCCCCGAGGGAAGAAGUGAGAAGGUUGUACCAAGUGGGUGCAUCCGCAGAGAAGCGCACAGGCGCCUCCAUUCGGGCAUAAGCAGCCAUGACUCUAAUGCUGUGUGUGCCUCUUACGUGUGUCCUCUCUAGGCAAGGAGCCAUGUGCUCUUCAACAUCUGUGCUGUCUCUCUCUCAGAAACUGCAAACCUCCCGUCCCCUCAGGGCGCCCCACUGUGGGAACUAACACAUGUAUUGUUUCUACUGACGAUGGGCGUUUCUACUUGGGCUACUGUGAAUGAUGCUGGAGGGCUCUUAUGUGCGUGCCAGAAUUUCUGCCUGUUCUUGCUUUAUUUACUCAACACAAAAGACAUUACAGGGAGGGGAGGACAGGGGAAAGGGCUAUCUGGGCAUUUGUGCCAUGGUGUGUGGGACCUACACAGUUAUCAUCAUGCACUCAUGCCUGCUAGGUGUUUAGGAUCCUCGGGGGAAGCAGGAUGAGGGAAGCUUGUAAGUAGAUUUUGAAUCUAAGCGAGACAACUUCAAAGCAAAGUGAACAGAAUCAAUAGUCAAGUGCAGAUGCUUGUCUGUCUGUCCAUCUCUCUCUCUCUCUCUCUCUCUCUCUCUCUCUCUCACACACACACACACACACACACACACACACACACACCCCGAAUCAUCAGCCAAACCGCACACACCUGUCAUGACUGUCAGGCUGAGGACUUUGCAACACUCUGAGAAAAAGUCAAUGGCAUCAGGCUAAGCUUCCCCUGUACAGAAUGGGGCUGCUGGUGCCCAGAAUCAAUCACCCGAGGAAUCCAAGUGAUUAAGCCCUGAGUAGGAAACCCUUCGGCUAUCAGAGCUGCAAGCCAAUAAGAGAUAACCCUGUUUCCUUUUGAGGAACACAAAAGAAACGAAGGGUUGUAAGCUUGUUACACACACACACACACACACACACACACACACACACACACACACACACACACAGUCUUAGACAUCUACGAGAACUGCAAGUUAAGCCUGCUGGGAAAGUUGUUUGGAGAGCGCUAACUGCUAGGCAGGAUUAUCCCUGUAGGUUGAACACAUCCACAUGUGCCCACAAACAUCUGGCCAGCGCUAAACUGACCUUUGGAAAGCCAACGGUGACAGGCAGAAUAGGACUACCUGCCUUCCUCCUGAGUCCAGGCCUGGAGCUGAGCUCAGCACAUUCCUGCCAGAAGACAGUGUGAGCGUAUGUACGCAUGCAUGCGAGACAGCCUGUGUCAUCACUGUGGUGGGGCGUCUGCCGGGGAGGGCCUUCGGGAGGCUGUGAGGACCCUACGCUGGCUCCACGCGACUCUGACCUGGCAGGCCAGCUCUCAAUUUUUUUUUUUUUUUGACUGAGGGGUCUUGGUGUGGCUGUGCUUGUGCGAGCAGCUGUGACGAUGGUGGAUGAGGGGAAUGUGACUUGAGAGUGAAAGAGAUGAGACAGUUGUGGGUAGAUGCUUGUUUAAAGGUCCAGAGACAAACAUUCUGCCUGCCUGGGCUCUGCCCACUGUGGGCCUCCUAGAGGAGCAUUCUGGGUCUGAGUGAACGGUUAGGUUUCCUCUGGGCUCAGGUCCUGGGGGUCCUAAUCAUGAAGGUGGACCAGGCUUUUCUCUCUGGUCACACUCAGGAGCAGGGAGGGCUGGCUUCUGAGCCCCACCCCUGGUGCCCCGUCACCAGCUGCCUGGAUGGACGGACGCCCCUGUGUACCAGUGACAAGCCUCCACCCCUCUAGCUCCCCAGGUCAGUGUUCAGAGUGAAAGGGGAGAAGGUGGGGAGGGGUGGAGUGGAGCUGUGCUCAUACGGCAGGGGGAGGGGCUGCCGGCGCGAGACUCAGUUCAGCAGAUGUCAUCCAGGGACUUGCCCUAGGCCACACAGCUGGCGUCUAAGUUUCCUUCAGCCCUGGAGUCUGGCUUAGCAUCUUCAGCCUCCUCCCUGACCUUUGCCCUCAAACGUGGAAGAAGUGAUGAAAGAUUUCAAGCAAGGCUGCAGAGAAACCUGCUUAGUUCCAGAACUCAGCAAACUGGUUCUGGUCUUACCCUAGCUUAACCUGUCAGGUUCUCCAGAAGAACUGAUCAUGAAAGGAUCGGAGCUCUCUCCAUCAGGGCCAGCAACUCAACAUGGAGACGGUCCCAGGAAACCCAGCUCUACUAUGGGUAGAAUGGAGCUGCAAUCAUCUGGACCUGCUGAGCUUCCAGAGGAUGCUUGCUUGAUCCACAAUUUAUGGCGCUAAUAGAUUCCCAACUGAGACCUUUCUUUUCUCCUUAGAGAAGGAAUUCGGGGCCCCUGUGGGCUGCCUCUGGGUUGGGCAGUCCUAGCCAGAGCUCCACUGGAUGUUCUCAGGUUACUGCUUCCUCCUCUCAACCCUGUUCCUGAGGUCCUCAUCCCCUUGGAGCUAGCUGUCUUGAUAGGAAGUGAGAGGAAAUGGUUGUUGUAAUACAUGUCCUUAAGGUGUCCAACCAUGAGACAGGAUUGUCUUUCUUUGAUUCAGUCCCACACCAGCCUCAAAGGGACCUUAAGGCAUCUGCAGCACGAGGCUGCACAGACAGGAACUUCAUUAGGGGCAGCCUGGAGUCUCUUGGAGGAGUCUUAAGCAUCAGCAGCCUGAGGUCUUCACACUGACAGGGCCUUUGCUGGGCUCAUGUGACUAAGCCCAAGUCUCUGCUCUGAGUCAUCUAACUCAAGGUCAAACUGUGUGGGUCAGACAACCACUUUCUGCAAGAGAACUCCAGGUUGUGGUCUCUUCAUUCGUCACUAGUCAGAGACCCCAGAAGGCCCACCCUGGUGUGUCACCACUGUGGAGUUAUAUGAGCAGUGUCACUGGGCGGCCACCGAUAUGGUGCUACAGCUGGGACCGGCAUUCUUAUUCUGCCUUCCACCUGCAUUUCAGCUCCUCAAAGGGCUUCCCAGCUCAGGGCCGCCCCCUCUCCCUCCGUGCGUGAGCUUCCCUUUAUCUCAGCGGGCAUUCCACAAGCAAUGCAGUUCUCUGUGUUGAAGCAAGCACACUGUCUGAUGCCAUCACCCAACCACAGUCCUUCAGUGUCACUGACGGGGUCACCAUGACCUGUGCUGGUCCUUGAUUCUCACUCUCACUGUGGCAUCAGAUCAAUAAUCAAGUUAAACAAGGUGAGCUGGGGGGCUGGGCCCGGCUGGUCGGAACUCAGAGCAGCCAUGCUGCAGGAAGGCCAAGUCCCUAAGGUGGCCACAGUGGCUAGUGCCAGCAGAGUCGGAAGCCGGCUCCGUGAUGAAGAUCAGAAAGGCUGACAGCACUUGUGUGGGCGCUGACUGGAAACUCCUGAGAGGCUCAAGAAAGCAGAGAGUGCGUGCAGGAGUCCAUUCCGCCGUGAAAGAGACAGCAAACGAGGAAGCGGAGGCUUCUCUGAGGCCAUCUGGGAGCACGAGGCUGAGCAGAAUACACACCUAAGAGCUGUCAGGCCCUAAAUCUCAAACCACUUCUCCCCUGCAGCUCUCCUCAGAGCCAGGUGCUGCCAGAGACGUAAAGAACACCAUCUUAUUCUUGCAGGAUCUGAUUCAAUAAAGUCAGAGUUUUGGUUAAUAGCUUUCUGCCCUCAGCAAAACCUGUCCAGUGAGACAUUUAUUGUCCCCUGAAGCCCAGAUGCUCUUGCCACAGACCAGAGUAGAAGAAGUAGGGUGGCAACGGUAUACGUGCCCAUGUCUCCUGAGGAACAGCCAUGUGGCCCCACAACACAGGAACGAAUUGCUUAUGCUGGGUUUUGAGGAAUUCAGCCAGUCGAGUAAAGGGCAGGGCUUGGCUAGCAGGUCUUCAUGUAACCCUGGCAUCCACCUUCAUUUAGAAGUGCUUUCUCUAUACAGCUGGUCCUGCUGGGGCCCAGCUACUGAGAAGAUAUCACCCAUGCUAAGCCUAUGGCCCAGGUGACACCGUAGUGACUGGAGUCUAAUGAGACAGACACCAUGCCUGGUGAAUUACACAGGGAACUGAACACAGAAAAGUCACCCCUGCCUCCUCACAUACAUACACACACAUGUGCACUGCAUACAUACGAACACUCGCCCUCCCCACCACUGCCACCACCAUGCUGGGCAAGGACAAGAUGACAAGUCCCUAGUAGUGCGGGCUGCUUGUAAGUUCCAUGUAAGCAGCCUCUAACCUUCUUGGUCACACACUCUGUGCAGUGACUCUGACACAGGGAAGCUCAGGUACUGGACACACAGGCCUCACAGACCAGAUCCAUGCUGUUCACUUCCCAUCAGCCUCAGCACCGCGUUCCUAUCACCUCUGUCCUCGACAGGGACCUGGGGUCUUCCGUGGUUGGCUGUCACAGCUGUGCUCCCAGCUCAGGGGCUUUGUACUGAAUGCUUUUCAUUCCCCAAAUAUCUCCACCAUCUCUCGAAUGUACACCUCUCACCCAAGUUCCCGUUUACCAAGGCCGGCCUCUGUGACCACACAUGCUCUCACCACACAUGGACACAUUUGGCUUCAGUUUUCUUAGUCCAACCAAUGUAUCAGAGGAGGACCUGUCAUAAUAUCUAGCUUGAUGCUCUUACUUGCAAACAGGCUCCAGGAGGCCUUAGAACGCUGGCAGUGCUAAGUAUAGGGGCUGGCCAUACUAGAUGUUGAGUGCUGACAGUCCCACGCAAGUAGAGCUGACGGUACCAAGCACAGAGUACUGAGGUACCAGGCACAGAGUACUGAGGUACCAGGCACAGGGUACUGAGUUACCAGGCACAGGGUACUGAGUUACCAGGCACAGGGUACUGAGUUACCAGGCACAGGGUACUGAGGUACCAGGCACAGGGUACUGAGUUACCAGGAACAGAAUACUGAGGUACCAAGCACAGGGUAUUGAGGUACCAGGCACAGGGUAUUGAGGUACCAGGCACAGGAUACUGAAGUACCAGGCACAGGGUACUGAGUUACCAGGAACAGAAUACUGAGGUACCAGGCACAGGGUACUGACGGUACCAGGCACAGGGUACUGACGGUACCAGGCACAGGUACCAGGCAUAGGGUACUGAGGUACCAGGCACAGGGUACUGACGGUACUAGGCACAGGGUACUGAGUUACCAGGCACAGAGUACUGAGGAACCAGGCACAGGGUAUUGAGGUACCAGGCACAGGGUAUUGAGGUACCAGGCACAGGAUACUGAAGUACCAGGCACAGGGUACUGAGGUACCAGGCACAGGGUACUGAGGUACCAGGCACAGAGUACUGAGUUACCAGGCACAGAGUACUGAGGAACCAGGCACAGGGUACUGAGGUACCAGGCACAGGGUACUGAGGUACCAGGCAUAGGGUACUGAGGUACCAGGCACAGAGUACUGAGGUACCAGGCAUAGGGUACUGAAGUACUAGGCACAGGGUACUGAGGUACCAGGCACAGACUACUGACGGUACCAGGCACAGGGUGCUGACAGUACCAGGAACAGAGUACUGAGGUACCAGGCACAGGGUGCUGACAGUACCAGGAACAGAGUACUGAGGUACCAGGCACAGGGUACUGAGGUACCAGGCACAGAGUACUGAGGUACCAGGCAUAGGGUACUGAAGUACUAGGCACAGAGUACUGAGAUACCAGGCAUAGGGUACUGAGUUACCAGGCACAGAGUACUGAGGAACCAGGCACAGAGUACUGAGGUACCAGGCACAGGGUACUGAAGUACCAGGCACAGAGUACUGAGGUACCAGGCACAG
rnacentral:sRNA from 1 species